rnacentral:rRNA from 1 species
CCCUUAGAUGUUCUGGGCCGCACGCGCGCUACACUGAUGAAUUCAACGAGCUCCUAACCUAGGCCGAAGGGUCCGGGUAAUCUUUGAAAUUUCAUCGUGAUGGGGAUAGAUUAUUGCAAUUAUUAAUCUUCAACGAGGAAUUCCUAGUAAGUGCGAGUCAUCAGCUCGCGUUGAUUACGUCCCUGCCCUUUGUACACACCGCCCGUCGCUCCUACCGAUUGAAUGGUCCGGUGAAAUGUUCGGACCGCGACAAGGCGGACGGUUCGCUGUCAGCUUUGCUGCGGGAAGUUCAUUAAACCUUAUCAUUUAGAGGAAGGAGAAGUCGUAACA